rnacentral:tRNA from 1 species
CUCCUGAUAGCUCAGUUGGUAGAGCGAUGGACUGUAAUUGUAAUCCUUGGAGAUCCACAGGUCGCGUGUUCGACUCACGCUCGGGAGA